UGUCGUAAAGUAGUGACGCAUUGACGCUAAAGAUGGCGUCGGAUUCAAACCGAUCCGCAUCUAAUGUGAAAGCUUACUAGACUCUGCUGAGAGGCGGAGAUGCAGACUGAGCCGGCGGAGCAGAGGAGACAUUCUAGCCGGGGACGGCGAGGGGAGAGCGGGCACAGUCGAGCAGAGCGGCGGGGGAAACAGCCGAUGACCGCGGUCACUUCUGUCAGGAGCUCCGAGGAGGAGACGACAAGGUUCAAGGAACUCUUCAGCGUCGUGAAACAGAAACAGGAGGGAGAAGGAGGAG